rnacentral:tRNA from 1 species
GGGGCUGUGACUCAGUGGUAGAGUGCUUGCCUGGCACACAUGAAGCACUGGGUUCAAUCCUCAGCACCA